GACGAACGCUGGCGGCGUGCUUAACACAUGCAAGUCGAACGAAGUGGCGAACGGGUGAGUAACGCGUAAUCAACCUGCCCUUCAGAGGGGGACAACAGUUGGAAACGACUGCUAAUACCGCAUACUGAAGGAGGGGAUUGCGUUUGAUUAGCUAGUUGGAGGGGUAACGGCCCACCACGGCGAUGAUCAGUAGCCGGUUUGAGGGGGUGAACGGGCACAAUGGGAAUGAGAAAAGGCCCAGACUCCGACGGGAGGCAGCAGUGGGGAAUCUUCCGCAAUGGACGAAAGGCUGGAGGAGGAACGCCGGGGGGUAGAUUACGGCCUUCGGGGUGUAAAGCUCUGUUUAUCGGGACGCGGUACCGGAAUAGAAAGCCACGGCUAACUACGUGCCAGCAGCCGCGGUAAUAC
rnacentral:rRNA from 1 species